UAGAAUCGGCUCCAAUUCCAUUACAUGGCCUUUUUGCACUACCACUUCGCACUGAGUUCUUCAAAACCUUGUGAAAACACACCCUUGACUUUACCAAAACUUCACAAUUGAUUCGGAGAUACCACAAUUUAUCCUCACGCCUUACUUUAAUUCUUUAAUCAAAGUUAGCGUCGGAAAUCCGAAAUUCUCUUUAUAUUUCGUUUCGCGCCCAAUUGCGCCGAAACACUUAUUUAUCUCCGAAAUUCAUUCCAACGCAUCACGAAUCACUCGAGAAUGAUGUCCAACUAGCUCAAUCCUCACUUUGAUCCCCGAGAUCAAAGUUGAC
rnacentral:lncRNA from 1 species